rnacentral:ribozyme from 1 species
AAAAUUGAGGCAUUGGCUUUCAACAUACUUACCCAAUGAAGCAGAUUGUAUCAAGAGGUCAUACA